rnacentral:lncRNA from 1 species
GCAAAUUACAGACAAACUGUGUAAUUAGUUUUUAUUUUCGCCAAUAUUUAAUGCUCUAUGCAUAUGUCCAAAGAUUUAAUGUGACAGGAAAUCUUGAAAAAUUUUAAGUUUUGAAGAGAAACUAAACAAAGCCUGAUUUCCAGAAUUAGAUUUAUCGGGAUCUCAAAUCAUCAGCCGUCUCUAUAAAUCGGAUUUAUAGGGGCGGCUGGCUAAUUGCUUCUACAAAUCCACAAUUUGUAGCAACAUGAUGGUAAGGCUGGCUAGCAAAAACACCCCUAUAAAUCCCGUGGAGCAGCCCCAAAAAAUAAAAAAUAUAGAUUAACUCGUGCGUCUCACUAGUGGUCAGGAUUUUCUGAGAGAUUUCUCCAGCGCCUUGCACGAAUGGACUACAACUAUCACAUCUCUCAGCAGUGUUUCUAAAGACUUUAGAGUAUAGUAGGUUGUAGAUCUAGUUGUAUGCGUGCAUACGGUUUGUUGAAUAUGUUCCAAAUUUAGUUGCACAUUAUAAAGACCGACUUCUGAUGGAGCGAGGAGGCCCAUCAACAAAUUAGGGUUCCACUGAGAAUACAAUCUUGUAAGCCACCGCACGGCAUUGUAACCUGACUCUUGAUAAUAAUUAGGAGUGUUUGCUGGCUGGCGCUCGUGGUUUUUUUCCUUUCGCAUUGGAGAGGUUUCCACGCUAAAUCUUGUGUCUCCGCCGUAGUUGAUCUUGUAUUCUUUAUCGUUUAUCCGUCGUCAUUUACAACACGGUUGUAGUGUGUGUUGGUGUGAGUUACAACUUGUAUUUGAAGUUUGAGGCGAUAAAAAAACUUAGAUGCUAGCUAGGGGUGCAAAUGUCGCGAAUCUUCCGGUCCGAACGUUCGGACCGGAGUCUCCGUCCGAUGGUUUCCCGCGCGAUGACUUCCCGCGCGUGAGCACGUGAUAGGUAUGUACGUUUCUUUUUUAUUUUUUCUUUCUUUUUUAUGUUUUUUUUCUUUUUCCCUCCCGAUCUCGUUGCUGUUAGUUUUCUUGUCUUUUUUUGUUUCUUUUUUCUUUUUCUUUUUCUUGCUAUAUUUUUUUCUUUAAUUUCUUUUCUUUUUUCUUUCUUUUUUUUAUUUUAUAUUCCGUUUGGUUUUUUUAUCUUUUAUGUGCUUUAUUUUUAUUUUCCUUUUUUGUUUUAUAUUAUUCUUUGUUUUGUAUCUUUAUUUUUUUAUCUUAUUCUUAUUAUUUUCUUUGAUGUUUACGUGCUGAUGUUCUAUUUUUUUUAUUUUUUCUUUUGAUUUUGUUUUUCCUUUUAUUUUUUAAUUAUGUUUUCUUUUAUUCAUGUUUUAUUUCUUAAUCUUUUUUUUUCUUUUCUUUAAUUUCUUUUUUUUUCAUUUUAUAUUCCAUUUGAUUAUUUUUCUAUUUUUUUUGUGCUUUAUUUUUAUUUUCAUUUUUUUAUAUUAUCCUUUGUUUGGUAUAUUUUAUCUUUUUCUUAUUGUUAUUAUUUUCUUUGAUGUUCACGUGCUGAUGUUCUAUUUUUAUUUUUUUCCUUUUAAUUUUGUUUUUUCUUUUAAUUUUUAAUUAUGUUUUCUUUUAUUCAUAUUUUAUUUCUUAAUCUCUCUUUGUUAUUAAUCUUUUUUUACAUCAUAUGCGAUGUUCUAUAAUACAUUAAGUGUUGUUUCAUGAUUAAUUCAGCGAUGUUUACUUACUAUACAUACAAUAUUCUAUAAUGUGUUGAGUGAUGUUCUAUUGUGAAUUUAGUGAUGUUCGCUUAGUACACGUGUGGUGUUCUAUGAUAUAUCUAGUGAUGUUCACGUAAUAUAUAUACAAUGUUCCAUAAUGUAUUAAAUAGUGUUCUAUAGUGUAUUUAGUGAUGUUCAGUUUAGUACACAUGUGAUGUUUUAUAGUUUAUUUUUAGGAUGUUUUAAAACUAUCCAUAUGAUGUUCUUUUAAAAUUUUCUCUAUUACGUGUUUUUUCCUUAUGCUUUGCUCUAGAUUUUAUUUUUUUGUUUACAUGAUGUAUUUAUUUAUUUAUUUUAAAUAUUAUAAUAACAGUUUCAUGAAUCUAAACUAGAACACUAUUUUUUAAACUAAGAACAUUUUUCUUACAAAGAUGGAACAUUUCUUUUAUGAACCUAGAACAUUAUCUAUCAUAAAUAAAAAUGUUAUAUCUUUAUAAGAUAAAUGUUUAUUAAUAAAAUUUUAUUUAAAUAUAUCCAUGUGAGAUCUUGUUUUGAAGGAUUUAUUAUAAGAAACACUAUAGUGUAAUCGGAUUUUGAUUUUGAUUUAGAUAUUUAGUUUAGUAGCUAUGACUUUUUAAAUUUUGUUGAUGAAAGUGGAGAAUAUAUGGAUGAGGUGGGCCCUGUAGGAUGGACAGCCUCUGUCAACCGCUAGCUGUGCUACACUGCUACUCUGAUCCUAUAGAAUAGACAGACUUUAUUCUAGUUUGUGCAUGCAUGUCUUAUCUAUGCUAAUUUUUUUUGUAUCUAUGCUAAUUAAUUUCUGGAACCAAGUAUGUGCAAUGUUGUUCAUGGGCUAUGGCAACACAACAUGAUGUUCUUUAAUUUUUUUCUAUUACAUGUUUCUUAUAUUUUUUUCCUUAUGAUCCGCUGAAGAUUUUUCAUUAUUAUUUGGUUUAUGUUAUGUACUUAUUUAUAUAUAUAUAUAUAUGAUAUAUAUGUAAUAUUAUAUGAUGUUUUUUGUGAUGUUCUCGUAAUAUACAUGUUAUGUUCUCGUAGUAUAUAUGCGAUGUUCGAUGAUGUAUUUAGUGGUGUUCUUUUAAUAUAUAUGUCAUGUUCUGUGAUUUUAUGUUCACAUAGAAUACAUAUAUGUUUACGAUGUUCACGUAAUAUAUAUGUGAUGUUCUCGUGUUAUAUAUGUGAUAUUUUAUGAUGUUUUUUGUGAUGUUCGCACAAUAUACAUGUGAUGUUCUAUGAUGUAUUUAAUGAUGUUCGCUUAAUAUAUAUGCGAUGUUCUAUAACAUAUUCAGCGAUGUUCCAUUGCGUAUUUAGUGAUAAUUACUUAAUAAACAUGUGAUAUUCUAUUGUAUAUUAGUAUUUUAAGAUAUUUGAAGAGUAUUCAGAUGGUAUUCUUUUAUUUUUUUCUCUAUUAUGUUUUCUCCUUAUGCAUUACUCUAGAUUUUAUUUGUUUUUAUUUAUACUAUGUAUGUAUGUAUUUGUUUAUUAUUUAUUAUUUUAUGUACAUUAUAAUAUAAUACCAAUAUGGUUCUUAGAAUGUUUUCUUAUGAAGACGGAAUAUUGUUUUUAAACCUAAAACAUCAUCUAAGCUCAAUACAAAAAUAUUCUAUUUUUAUAUAAUAAAUAUUUGUUAUUUAAAAUUUUAUCUAAAUAUAUUCAUGUGGGAUCUUGUUUUGAAGGAUUUAUUAUAAGAAAUCUAAUGGUGUAAUCGGAAUUUAAUUUGGAUAUUUUGUUUAGGAGUUAUGACUUUUUUUGUUUGUUGAAAACUAUUUUGUGCAUGGUGUGACGUGGAUAUGCUGUUGCACUAUUUCAUUGUACCAGCAGUACAUGGGAAAGCUACGAGCCACGAGCGCGGGCUACAGAAAAGUAUAACAAAUAUCUAAUCUUGAAACAGUGUGAAGAAACAGUCUGAAAAAAUAUACGCGCCAACGCCAUACGCGCGCAGACUUUUGGGCGGGAAUCUGCCGGACGAGUGAUUCGGUCCGAACGGCCGGACCGUAAGGGCCCCCUGCAAAUGUGCCCCUCAAAAAUAAGAAAACCGGUGACUACGACUAUAUUUUAUCAUGUAUCACGUAUGUAUCCCCUAUAACAAUUGUAUGCAACCACAACAUAAGUUCACUUCUCUCUAAUUGAUUCUAGCUUCACCGUCUAUUUCCGCAAAGCACUGACUGCCAUAAUGGUGUACACAUCGCGUCACGAGGUCAGCGACAAGUCAUCAUCAAAUGGCUAGGCGAAUCCGAUCCCACUCCCAUCGACAUAUAUAAUCACCGGUGCAUAGACAAGGUUUAGCGUGUGUUAUAUAUAAUUGUUGGAAUGAUCUCAUCUUAAUCAUUUACUGACGUCUACUAUGCCCUGAUCCCAACAGUGGC